CAGGGGCCCAAGGUAGUCAGAGAUGGCUCCAGCCUGGCUGCCAAACAGGCAGGAACUCCAUUGUUUAAUUAAUCCCAUCAAUAGGAUUGCUGACUGGGGAUUAAAGGUUGGGUUGAAUACAUGUAUCUGUUAAUUUAUGUUAAUGAAUUCUGUGGCUAUAUGAGUCUAUGUUUUACAACAAUAAACUGUUCAUUCCUGCUGUACUC